rnacentral:rRNA from 1 species
GACGAACGCUGGCGGCGUGCCUAAUACAUGCAAGUCGAGCGAAGCGGCGGGUGGGUGAGUAACGCGUGGGUAACCUGCCCUUAAGUCUGGGAUACCAUUUGGAAACAGAUACUCAUAACGGAUACUAAAGGAUGGACCGGCGAUGCAUUAGCUAGUUGGUAAGGUACCGGCUUACCAAGGCGAGGAUGCAAAGCCGAUCGGAGAGACGGAUCGGCCACAUUGGGACUGAGACACGGCCCAAACUCCUACGGGAGGCAGCAGUAGGGAAUCUUCCACAAUGGACGAAAGUCUGAUGGAGCAACGCCGCGUGAGUGAAGAAGGUUUUCGGAUCGUAAAGCUCUGUUGUUGGAGAAGCGGUAAUUAACCAGAAAGUCACGGCUAACUACGUGCCAGCAGCCGCGGUAAUUC